rnacentral:rRNA from 1 species
ACCAAAUAGAUACCCAGGUAGUCCACGCCGUAAACGAUGAAUACUAGGUGUAGGGGUUGUCAUGACCUCUGUGCCGCCGCUAAACGCAUUAAGUAUUCCGCCUGGGGAGUACGGUCGCAAGAUUAAAACUCAAAGGAAUUGACGGGGGCCCGCACAAGCAGCGGAGCAUGUGGUUUAAUUCGAAGCAACGCGAAGAACCUUACCUAGACUUGACAUCUCCUGCAUUACUCUUAAUCGAGGAAGUCUCUUCGGAGACAGGAUGACAGGUGGUGCAUGGUUGUCGUCAGCUCGUGUCGUGAGAUGUUGGGUUAAAGUCCCGCAACGAGCGCAACCCUUAUUGUUAGUUGCCAUCAUUAAGUUGGGCACUCUAGCGAGACUGCCCGGGG